GUAACAUACAGUGAUGUGAGAGGAGGAAUAGGUCGAGGGAGGAGCAACACUGUCAGAACAGAGCAGAACAGAAAAGGACUCCUACUGUCAGAUGCAUUCAAUAUCUAAACCAGACAGGACACAGAUACUGUCUGUAAGAUGAUGUCACUGCAUUACUGUGUCAUUUUCCAGCUUCUUCUGACCAUACUAAAAGGUGUCAGCUGUGAAGAACUCACUCCAGAUAACGAUGAAGAGUUCAGUUUAGAAGGCAGCACUGUUACUCUGUCCUACACAUACUCCAAAAAAGCAACUGGUAGUGAUAGUUUCUUCUGGUAUCGACAACAUCCAGGAAAACCACCAGAGUUCCUCAUUUCUCAUCUGGAAUCAGGAGAAAUAUUAGCAAAUGCAGUCUCUGGACUGUCUGUUAAAGUGAGUGAGGAUAAAACCCGAAUGGAUCUGCAGAUCUCCUCUGCUGCAGUGACAGACUCUGCUCUGUACUACUGUGCUGUGAGGCCCACAGUGACAGCAAACCCACAGCCUCUGUACAAAAACACAAGCUGACACACUGACAAGCUGCUGGAAGCCUUUUUUCCACACUGUUGUACUGAAGUUUUGACCUCCACUAGAGGGCGACAUUAUCAAGUUGGCGGUGCACUACUUCUGCACUGUGUUCAACCGUUGUGUCAAUAAUAACUGCUGCUGUGAAGAGAACAAUUCUCAGACUGAAUGUUGAACAGCAGCUAGUUUCUCCUGUUGAUUU